UCAUAUGUCCUUCUACAUCAUUGUUCCUCAUUUUGUGCCCUUUGAGAUCCUCAAAUUUAGCCUUAGCUAUCAGUCAUCUCUUUGCUCUCUUAGUCUUGAUAAUCACAAUCAUUUUUAUCUAUCAUAUAUAUACAUAGACACACACACACACACACACACACACACAUAUAUAUAUAUAGACACACACACAGAUAUAUACACAUAUACAUAUAUAUAUAUAUACACAUAUA
rnacentral:lncRNA from 1 species